GAUGAACGCUGGCGGCGUGCCUAAUACAUGCAAGUCGAGCGAACAGACGAGGAGCUUGCUCCUCUGACGUUAGCGGCGGACGGGUGAGUAACACGUGGAUAACCUACCUAUAAGACUGGGAUAACUUCGGGAAACCGGAGCUAAUACCGGAUAAUAUAUUGAACCGCAUGGUUCAAUAGUGAAAGACGGUUUUGCUGUCACUUAUAGAUGGAUCCGCGCCGCAUUAGCUAGUUGGUAAGGUAACGGCUUACCAAGGCAACGAUGCGUAGCCGACCUGAGAGGGUGAUCGGCCACACUGGAACUGAGACACGGUCCAGACUCCUACGGGAGGCAGCAGUAGGGAAUCUUCCGCAAUGGGCGAAAGCCUGACGGAGCAACGCCGCGUGAGUGAUGAAGGUCUUCGGAUCGUAAAACUCUGUUAUUAGGAAAGGACAAAUGUGUAAGUAACUAUGCACGUCUUGACGGUACCUAAUCAGAAAGCCACGGCUAACUACGUG
rnacentral:rRNA from 1 species